CAGUAGCCACGGGAAUACGAAGGGGGCUAGCGUUGUUCGGAAUCACUGGGCGUAAAGGGUGCGUAGGCGGAUUCUUAAGUCAGGGGUGAAAUCCCGAGGCUCAACCUCGGAACUGCCUUCGAUACUGGGGAUCUUGAGUCCGGAAGAGGUGAGUGGAACUGCGAGUAUAGAGGUGAAAUUCGUAGAUAUUCGCAAGAACACCGGUGGCGAAGGCGGCUCACUGGUCCGGAACUGACGCUGAGGCACGACAGCGUGGGGAGCAAACAGGAUUAGAUACCCCGGUAGUCCCUGUCUCUUAUAC
rnacentral:rRNA from 1 species